GAAUUCUGAAUUAGUGUAUAUCAUAGGAAGCUACCUUAAGCCUUCAGAAAGAGUGUUCCAUCAUUCACCCAGAAUGAAUCAUCUUAGACUUGCCAACCUGUGAACUUAGACGUCACCUCUGCUAAAGUGGUUCAUAGCCCAAAUAGCCAAGCUCUUCUUUUCACCUUAAAAACUGCUCAGGAAAAGAUUCUUCAUUUAGAACUAGAGAGAACACAAGCUGAAGAUAACCUGAACGCGCUUUCCAAAGAAGCAGCACAGUAUAAAAAGGCCUUAGAGAGUGAAACGAAUGAGAGAAAUCUGGCACAUGAGGAACUGGUAAAGCAGAAAAAAGACACAAGUAUACAGUUAAGCUCAGCCCAAUCUCGUUGUACCCUUCUAGAGAAGCAACUAGAACAUACUAAGAAUGGUUCUCAGUGGAGAGCAAGGAAAGAAUAUGAUCCUAGAACAACAGGCCCAGCUUCAAAGAGAAAAAGAACAAGAUCAGAUGAAGCUGCACGUGAAACUCGAAAAGCUUGAUGCCUUAGAAGAGUGUUUUGGGCUUACAACUCAGAAAACUGCUGAGGACAAGAUUAAACAUUUAGAGGAAAAACUUAAGGAAGAAGAACAUCAGCAUAAGCUAUUUCAAGACAAAGCUUCUGAGCUUCAAACUGGACUUGAAAUCAGUAGCAUUUUAAUGCCUUCAGUUUCAAAUCCAAAACACUCCAAGGAAAAGAAGGCAUCUUCAAAGAAAACUCAAUAUUUAAAGACAGGACACUUUGGCAUAUUUAUUCAAAGUUUGGAGCCCUGCCUCUUGUAACAGAGAAGUCCUCCAGUGCAAGCUGUUCCGUGAAUGUAAGUGCACAGAACCUUAUGCAGAUGAAGCAACACGGUGGCCUCCACUCCCCUCAGAAACCAUCCGAAGUGACUGAGCCUACAUGUCUCUACAAGCCUAUUGGAGAAACUUCCCAGAAUAAGGCUGUACUUCUUGGCUCUGAAAACAGUCUAUUUCCAUUUGUGACAAUGCGUCUGAACUUUUAAUGGCAGUGCAGGAUGAGCUGGUCCCAAUGACUAUGGAGCAUCAAGAACUACUGAAACAAAUGAAGGAGACUGAAAGCUAUUCGGUCUGUGAUGACGUAGAAUGUGAACUUGAGUACAAAGGCUAUGAUUAA